UCAGCCUCACCUGUGUUCUGAGUAAUUACUGGUGUUUUCCGGUGUAUAAAUUCUAGUCUGUUUGUCCAGUUUUUUCAGCUGCAUACCGAGCGUUAUUUCUUUGUUUAUAUAUUUUCGUGUAUGACGUCUUUUUUGGCUUUUGUCUCUGAUUUUGUCUUGCCCUUUUGACGCUGACGGACCCGUGGACCCAUGGCCCCUGUGCACUUAAGACCUCCAUGUGGGGGAACACCCACUCACUCUGAAAACAUCUUGUAUAUUUUUAUCCACCUCAGAACAAUGGCUGAGAUUUAGAGGACAGUAAAAAAUCACAGCUGGUGUCACAGAAUGAAGAAGAGAGGGAAGAAAAAUACAGAGCAGCGAAAUAUCGCUGUGAUUUCCGCUGACCUACAGAGUGCAUCCUUGACCACUUGACCAUCCUUGAGAUAAUUCAUUUAGGCACAAAAUGACAGGCAGAGCAAAGGUCACAACAGGCCUCGAAUGUAAUUAGGAAACUCAGUAAAUAUCUUCUACUGUA